CCUACGGGUGGCAGCAGUGAGGAAUAUUGGUCAAUGGGCGCGAGCCUGAACCAGCCAAGUCGCGUGAGGGAUGAAGGUUCUAUGGAUCGUAAACCUCUUUUAUAAGGGAAUAAAGUGUGGGACGUGUCCUAUUUUGUAUGUACCUUAUGAAUACGGAUCGGCUAACUCCGUGCCAGCAGCCGCGGUAAUACGGAGGAUCCGAGCGUUAUCCGGAUUUAUUGGGUUUAAAGGGAGCGUAGGUGGUCUUUUAAGUCAGCGGUGAAAGUUUGGGGCUCAACCAUAGAAUUGCAGUUGAUACUGGGGGCCUUGAGUACGUUUGAGGCAGGCGGAAUGCGUGGUGUAGCGGUGAAAUGCUUAGAUAUCACGCAGAACCCCGAUUGCGAAGGCAGCCUGCCAAGCCAUGACUGACGCUGAUGCACGAAAGCGUGGGGAUCAAACAGGAUUAGAUACCCUAGUAGUC
rnacentral:rRNA from 1 species